GCCGGGCGCGGUGGCGCGCGCCUGUAAUCCCAGCUACUCGGGAGGCUGAGGCUGGAGGAUCGCUUGAGCUCAGGAGUUCUGGGCUGCAGUGCGCUAUGCCGAUCGGGUGUCCGCACUAAGUUCGGCAUCAAUAUGGUGACCUCCCGGGAGCGGGGGGCCACCAGGUUGCCUAAGGAGGGGUGAACCGGCCCAGGUCGGAAACGGAGCAGGUCAAAACUCCCGUGCUGAUCAGUAGUGGGAUCGCGCCUGUGAAUAGCCACUGUACUCCAGCCUGGGCAAUAUAGCGAGACCCUGUCUCU
ensembl:misc_RNA Metazoa_SRP Metazoan signal recognition particle RNA